rnacentral:lncRNA from 1 species
UCAAGAAUGUAGAAAAAAACACUGGUCUGCAUUCCAUUAGGAAUCUUGUCAUUAGGAGUAAACAAUAUUCAGAUGAUGAUCUUGCAGGAGUUAGGUUAUUCUGAAUCCUUUGGGUUUACAGAGUCUGUCUCUGUGAACCCAAAAGUGGAGAGAGAGGAGUCUUCAAAAGUGGAGGAGUUAGUUGAUAAAUGCAUAAAUCAGGAUCUAAUCACCAAGAAGGACAGGAAAUUUUGCAGAAAGUUCAUGCUUGGUAUAACACAAACAGAAGAGAAGUUAAGAUCAAGAGAAUACUAAAAAAUCUUUAUCUUAUUUAUGAAAAGGUUGUGGUGUUCGUGUUAUCCCGAUAGAAAAAGGCAUAACGGUAAAUCACAAAAAUAACUUUAUUUCUCGCAGACACAUAUGACGACCUUACAGCUCGAGCGGCUCGCCAAAAAUUGGGCUCCUACUACACUUGGCCCUCUCGCGGUGAAAAACCUUUUCUUUUUUCUAAUUCGUGUGUUCGUCUCCGCAGUUCCAUUCUCAAC